rnacentral:rRNA from 1 species
UACAGAGGGUGCAAGCGUUGUUCGGAAUUACUGGGCGUAAAGCGUGCGUAGUCGGUAUUGAGAGUCGCGGGUGAAAUCCCAGGGCUUAACCCUGGAACUGCCUGCGAGACCUCAGUACUAGAGUGUGAGAGGGGAUAGUGGAAUACCAAGUGUAGCGGUGAAAUGCGUAGAGAUUUGGUAGAACACCGGUGGCGAAGGCGGCUAUCUGGCUCACAACUGACGAUCAGGCACGAAAGCGUGGGGAGCAAACAGG